GGGAAGUUGGGUGAAUGGUUAAGCCAGCAGACUGUAAAUCUGCCGCCUUCGGGCAUUCUAGGUUCUAAUCCUAGGCUUCCCACCA
rnacentral:tRNA from 1 species